rnacentral:tRNA from 1 species
UCAUCGGUGGUUCAGUGGUAAAAUGCUCGCCUGCCACGCGGGCAGCCCGGGUUCGAUUCCCGGCCAAUGUA